GACGAACGCUGGCGGCGUGCUUAACACAUGCAAGUCGAACGGUGAAGCUCCAGCUUGCUGGAGUGGAUCAGUGGCGAACGGGUGAGUAACACGUGAGCAACCUGCCCUUGACUCUGGAAUAAGCGCUGGAAACGGCGUCUAAUACUGGAUACGAGAAGGGUCCGCAUGGGCACUUUCUGGAAAGUUUUUCGGUUGGGGAUGGGCUCGCGGCCUAUCAGCUUGUUGGUGAGGUAAUGGCUCACCAAGGCGACGACGGGUAGCCGGCCUGAGAGGGCGACCGGCCACACUGGGACUGAGACACGGCCCAGACUCCUACGGGAGGCAGCAGUGGGGAAUAUUGCACAAUGGGCGAAAGCCUGAUGCAGCGACGCCGCGUGAGGGAUGACGGCCUUCGGGUUGUAAACCUCUUUCAGCAGGGAAGAAGCGAAAGUGACGGUACCUGCAGAAGAAGCACCGGCUAACUACGUG
rnacentral:rRNA from 1 species